rnacentral:misc_RNA from 1 species
UCUAUGAUCUACCAUUGCAACAAAUUGUCCGUCCCUGGCUUCUGUUCCAUACUCACUGAUGUAAGUAGACGAGGUUUCAUUGAUUUUUAACUAAUUUUUCGGCUGCUGUAAUCUUUUAUCAACUACAUUUUCAGCAGAUGUAAUAAAAAGAACUUACAAUGACAAGCAGUAUUGAACGUCAAACACUGGAAUGGCAAAACCACAGGGAAUGCAUACAGG